AUUCGAACCUGCAGCAGGUUCGGGUCGAACGUAGUGAGACAACGGAGCCGCUUGCGGCGACGGCCCGCAGGGCGAGGCGAAGCCGAGUCAUCCUGCACGACCCACCA
rnacentral:sRNA from 1 species